rnacentral:lncRNA from 1 species
GGAAUAAGGGUGCGUAUUUACACACAAUAAAUGCUGCUUGAACACGUCUUACUGAUGCAGCUAUGAGUCCGGUUUUCGGCCUAAAAGUUUUAGCUGCACUCAGCUUAAUUUCCCUCAUUUUCAUUUUCGGACAAGCUCCAACGUAUGUGCUUGCAGGAAAGCUACCACCGGGACCUGGAGGCAUGCCGAACCUAAAUUUAGGAGAGGAAGAGCAUCGUCAAGCAAGUGGACUGACAUUGGGCAACAGACGACAAAAGCGCACGGCACCAAAUCGCCGCACGUAUGGAUCACCACCGCAGUCACCUCCCCGACAAAGCGCUGCAAGACGACGACAGAGAAGAUCCCAAUGGCCGGGAUAGUGCAACCUACCCAGAAAAUUUUAUUCCAUUAGCCAAUGCUUCUCCAUUCCUUUGCAAUGUUGAUGAGCGGCGUAGAAGAAAGAAAAAAAAACAAACUAAUGAAGUAUUUUGCGACAGAACCCAUAUCAGUGGCACGAGUAAUAUAAGGCAUAGCGCGGUUUUGGUUUGUAUGGCGGUACGUUUAUAUUGUAGAAAGAAUUCCUGACUCAUGACCACAAUAAAGAAAAUGAAAACAAAUA